CAUUGUCUUCAUUUGCCCUUGC
rnacentral:miRNA from 1 species